UACAGAGGUCCCGAGCGUUGUUCGGAUUCACUGGGCGUAAAGGGUGCGUAGGUGGUGAGGUAAGUCGGAUGUGAAAGCUCCGAGCUCAACUCGGAAAUGGCAUUGGAAACUACCUUGCUGGAGGGUUUGAGGGGGGACUGGAAUUCUCGGUGUAGCAGUGAAAUGCGUAGAUAUCGAGAGGAACACCAGUGGCGAAGGCGAGUCCCUGGAAAACACCUGACACUGAGGCACGAAAGCUAGGGGAGCAAACAGG
rnacentral:rRNA from 1 species